rnacentral:lncRNA from 1 species
CUGAGAACUUGACAAAGACCUCAUCGAUGGUUGGAAAGGUGAGGUCAGGUUCAUAGGUUUGAGAGGUGGAUUCAAGGGGAUUUUGUGUGGGUUCAUAGAGGUUAGAGAUGGGUUCAGAAAAAGGUGGAAUGGUUUCGGAAGAUUCUGGUAUAGACUGAGUCUGGUCAGAUUCAAUUGUGGUCUAUAGUUGUGCAAGAGUGGGGGGGU